CCUACGGGAGGCUGCAGUGGGGGAUAUUGCACAAUGGAGGAAACCCUGAUGCAGCGACGCCGCGUGAGGGAAGACGGUCUUCGGAUUGUAAACCUCUGUCUUUGGGGAAGAAAAUGACGGUACCCAAAGAGGAAGCUCUGGCCAACUACGUGCCAGCAGCCGCGGUAAUACGUAGGGAGCGAGCGUUGUCCGGAAUUACUGGGUGUAAGGGGAGCGUAGGCGGGCGAGAAAGUUGAAUGUUAAAUCUACCGGCUUAACUGGUAGGUGCGUUCGAAACUUCUUGUCUUGAGUGAAGUAGAGGAAGGCGGAAUGCCUAGUGUAGCGGUGAAAUGCGUAGAUAUUAGGAGGAACACCAGUGGCGAAGGCGGCCUGCUGGGCUUUAACUGACGCUGAGGCUCGAAAGCGUGGGGAGCAAACAGGAUUAGAUAUCCGAGUAGUC
rnacentral:rRNA from 1 species